UUGACCAAGACCAAGGGCACUCUUCCCAACCAGAGCAUGAUGGACACCUGAGGACCAGAGGAAUUCUAUGGCGAAGAACCUGGGUUCUUUGAGGAGAAGGCCACUGGGUCAGGAGUCCGUGCAGAUCUACCCUCAUCUUUGCUGAUCUGAUCGAUGCAGAAAACCAGAGCCUUGGCCUCAGGAGGUAGAGAACAAGUGGGUGUAUGGAUCCAAAGGGUGGUCUCGGAUGCUCCUGCUGUGGGAGAAGAGCCUCCUCACCGCGUGCUGCUGGCCAAGCCUGAGCCCUGGGGGCCGCCCUCGUGCCCGCAGACUGCCUGAUGUCGAGAGGGGAGAAGCAGGGAGCCGGUGGGAGUGAAGGGGCUUCCCACACCCUCCUCCCCCAAACACAGGAAUAAGUAACUGUGGGCUUCUGCAACCUGAGGCUCAAGAUGGUCUGGCUGCUAAUUUCCUGGAUGUUGAAGAUCAGAGGGAAGGAGAGU